rnacentral:rRNA from 1 species
AAAGGCUUGUAUGAAUGGUUGGAUGAGAUAUAAACUAUUUUUAUUUUAUAAUAAAUGAAUUUUAAUUUUUAGUAAAAAUGCUAAAAUUAAAUAAUUAGACGAGAAGACCCUGUGAAUCUUUAUUUUUUUAAUAAAUUUAAUAUUUUGUAAAUUAAUUUAAAUAUACUAAUAAAAAUUUUAUUGGGGCGAUAAUUAAAUUUAAAAAACUUUAUUUUUAUUUAAUAAUUAUAAUUAAUUUUUUGAUCCAUUAAUAAUGAUUAUAAAAUUAAGUUACUUUAGGGAUAACAGCGUAAUUAUUUUAAAGAGUUCUUAUCGAUAAAAUAGA